rnacentral:rRNA from 1 species
UACAGAGGUGGCAAGCGUUGUUCGGAAUUACUGGGCGUAAAGGGAGCGUAGGCGGGCUCUUAAGUUGGAUGUUUAAAACCGGGGCCCAACCCCGGCGUGGCAUCCAAAACUGGGAGUCUUGAAUGGAACAGAGGCUAGUGGAAUUGGAGGUGUAGCGGUGGAAUGCGUAGAGAUCUCCAAGAACACCCGUUGCGAAGGCGGCUAGCUGGGUUCACAUUGACGCUGAGGCUCGAAAGCGUGGGGAGCAAACAGG